AGAUUGAACGCUGGCGGCAGGCCUAACACAUGCAAGUCGAGCGGUAGAGAGGUGCUUGCACCUCUUGAGAGCGGCGGACGGGUGAGUAAUGCCUAGGAAUCUGCCUAGUGGUGGGGGAUAACGUUCGGAAACGGACGCUAAUACCGCAUACGUCCUACGGGAGAAAGCGGGGGACCUUCGGGCCUCGCGCCAUUAGAUGAGCCUAGGUCGGAUUAGCUAGUUGGUGAGGUAAUGGCUCACCAAGGCGACGAUCCGUAACUGGUCUGAGAGGAUGGAUCGAGUCAC
rnacentral:rRNA from 1 species